GAUGAACGCUGGCGGCGUGCCUAAUACAUGCAAGUCGAGCGAACGGACGAGAAGCUUGCUUCUCUGAUGUUAGCGGCGGACGGGUGAGUAACACGUGGAUAACCUACCUAUAAGACUGGGAUAACUUCGGGAAACCGGAGCUAAUACCGGAUAAUAUUUUGAACCGCAUGGUUCAAAAGUGAAAGACGGUCUUGCUGUCACUUAUAGAUGGAUCCGCGCUGCAUUAGCUAGUUGGUAAGGUAACGGCUUACCAAGGCAACGAUGCAUAGCCGAACUGAGAGGGUGAUCGGCCACACUGGAACUGAGAGACGGUCCAGACUCCUACGGGAGGCAGCAGUAGGGAAUCUUCCGCAAUGGGCGAAAGCCUGACGGAGCAACGCCGCGUGAGUGAUGAAGGUCUUCGGAUCGUAAAACUCUGUUAUUAGGGAAGAACAUAUGUGUAAGUAACUGUGCACAUCUUGACGGUACCUAAUCAGAAAGCCACGGCUAACUACGUG
rnacentral:rRNA from 1 species